AUGGAAGGGCGCCGAGAAGCUGAAAAUCGCUUUAACAUGCUCCAGGGGCAUGUACAACAAAUGGAGGAACAAAUGAACCGAAUGGAAUUGAUGUUAGCUUCACAAGGAAGGCAUAAUCUGGAAACUCCUAGCUCGCAGCACGGUUCCAAUUCUCGACAAAACUCCAGAGUUGAAGCUGAGGAAGAUAACGAUGCUGAAGAAGAUGUUGACCAGGAUGAUGAAGAGCCAUUUGUUCAUAGAAGAGUUGUUGCAAAGCCCCCUGCAAGAAGCUCAUCAGCCCAUGAAGAUGAAAGCCUUGCAACGAUUAUCUCAGUUGACCCAGACACUAUUGUGGGCGGAGAGCCCCUUGGACCAGCAACUUAUGAGGUUCUUGUCAAUGUUGCUAUCAGAAGGGAUGCCAAUGUGCCUUAUGAAGAUGAUGGUUUACAAAUUAUCGAUGAUGCUGUCACAAGGACCAUUGCAUGGCCAUCUAGCAAGAUGAAACCCUACAAACCAGGGGCAUCUUCCUCAUCCCGCCGCUAA
rnacentral:rRNA from 1 species